UCUCUUAUAACAAAAAAUAUAGGAUAAGUGUUUAUAGAACCAAGACCAACAAGGGGUCAUUAAAUAGAAAUAUACACAAAAUUUCUUAAUUACAAAAAUACUGUUCAUCAGAGUGCAGACAAAAUAGGCACUUGCGAAUAUUCUAGCAAUCCAAGGAAGUAUCAAGGUAAGCUUCAAGGGGAAACAUUGUGUAUGACUCAUCACUAUCAUCAUCUGGGAGGUCCCAGCAUAGAAAGAGUGAGUUAUAUGAAACUCAGUAAGGGAAAUCGUAUUAAAAU
rnacentral:lncRNA from 1 species